rnacentral:piRNA from 1 species
UGAACACCUGUAGGACACGUAACGGAGCCC